GAAGUCUAUCCUCACGAAGGCCUUGGCAGGGGAGUUUAUUUUCAAUAAGGCACGCCUUGCGAAACUGAAAGACUCUGUCGGGAACCUUGAUGGGUCUAGAGAGUCGUGCGAGGGGUUUCUGGAUGCUGCAAUGGCGGUGGUCAAGCCAUAUUUGAGCGACUGCAGAUUGCGGGAGAACAUCUUGGUGAUCCUCUUCCACGCAGUUCAGUCUGUUGUUCCAGAUGUGCUGGGAGAGGUUCUGGUCCCCGGUGGAGUCGGUUUUGAUGAAAUGGGGCAGGAAGUGGGGUAUUUUUUGGGGUUCGCGGACACACUUGUGAUUCCGGUCGGACGGGUUGGGGUCAUUAUUAAUCAUAAAGUUUGCGCAACAGCUUUCGAAGCUCUGAAGGAAGUGUUCAAGAUGGGGUAUGAUACACUUAUUUCGAACUCCUCAAGGAAGGUUUUUAUUGGGUUGAGUUUUGAUACUAUAAGCAAGAAAAUGUCAGCUAGUUGUUUGAAAGACAGUACAAUACUCACGCUUGCGUUUAACAUGACUGUUGGAGGCGAGUCUAAAUUGUGAGAUACAGAGAAGUAGGGCGACUAGUUGGAGAUGAAAAGGAUCGCUCUUAGUUUGAGUGUUGAAACCAUUGAAACUGUCGGAUAAGUAUUCGUGGAAAAUUACAAAUCAUACAAUCAUCAAUUGCAUUUCAUUUUACUGUUGAAGGACGAUUUGAAUCCAGGGAGUUAAUUAGUGGCAAACAGAUGGUAAAGAACAAUUAUUGGUGGUUUGUGUUCGAACUACCGGAAAGUGUUUGGAUUUAUAGAUAGUGGAAAUGUUGCGCAUCCUUUUCAUACCCAUAUAUGUUUUUUUUUCUUUCUUCAAUAUUGUAACUAUUUUUUUUCAAAUAAUACAAUUACGCGAGAAAUGACAAUAGUUACAUUAAUUUUCAGAGAGUGCCAUAAAAGUAAUUAUAUAUCCCUUUGUUGCACAUUUGUUAAUAUUAUAAUGCAAAAGCAACACUCAAUUUUUUCCAUGUGGCAUUUUGCUAAAAUUCUAUGUCAAGGGAUAUUUUCUCAUUUUUUAACUCGUUCGUGAAUUCUAAAGGAAUCAAUUUCCUAAAAGAACCACUCAGAAAUUUGAAUUAAGUGAAUAGUUCUUGAUAAACAUCUCAUUUAGACCGGGUUUGAUACAAAUGCAAUAAGUCACAUUUUUUAGAAGGAAUAAGUUGGGAAUGGUUUUGAAUCCACUAGUCGUACAUUUUCUCCAGUUAAAAAUCUAAAGUCAAUAAAAAAUUCGUGAUUCACAAAAUCAUCUGGUAACAUUAAGAUUCUUGGAAGAAUAAACGUUUAGACCUAUUUUUCUACGCUCAAACUUUAGUAAACCACGCAGAGUGUGCAAACAUUUCAAAAUCAUGGGUUGAAAAACGCUGACUCUGCGAGUUUAAAUAUUAGAACCGAACAUGAGCGGCGUGUUGUCAGUGAGUAACGCGCACUGGCCCCGUCAAACCUAAGGGGAUACUUCACGCAUUGCGCAUUGCUUGAAGUAUCCACUUAGGUUUGUAGGCGCCAAUGCGCUGGCCAGUCGCUCGCCGCGCCGCAGCGUGCCACGGCGCUUCAAGCAACUAUUUCACAACAGAGGUGUUGCACAGUAGCAUACGAAAUUGAAGGCACUCCAACAUAUUCAGAAAGACGGGCAUUCUUUAAGAGUACUGAGCUUUCCUCGCAAAAAAAAAAUCAAGAUACUACGGCAUAAAAAGAGAUCGGUAGUCCAAAAACUGAGUAAGUCCUAGCAUCCAUAUUUAAUAACGUUAAGCAUAAUUUUUGAAUUUCAUUAGAAGAAAAGUGAUUCAAUUUAGGCAGAGACAUUCUUGAGUCGGCCGUCAAGAAGGUUUUAUUUUGAAACAAGAGAAAAAUAGCUGAAUAAAAGCGGGUUUCUGCUUGAUGCAAGUGACUUUUCUUAUUACAAAGGCAUCUUUUCUCCCUUAAAUAAGACGAACCUAUACAAUUCUGCUUGCUAAAAAAGCAUUAAACGAAAAUAAAAACUAUGUUAUGUAGCAUACUGCACAAUUUUUGACACUUUAUUGGCACUAUGAAAAUUUUCCAUACCAGUUGAGGCACCUGAAGAUGAGCGGCCCGCCCGAAAUGGCCAUUGUGCGUAAAGAAUAAUAAAAAAGUAAGUCAUCUAACUAUAAUCGGUUGUCGAAAAAGUUUUAUUUUAACAGAAAUUAAGUGAAAAUAAAAACCCCUUGAAGGGGAAAAUAAAAACUAAUUCUGCUGAGCCUACAUAAGCUUUAGAGAGAUCAUCCUAUAGAAUAUCAAAUAAAUUUGAAAGGCUACAAUUAAAGUAAAAUACUUUUUAAAUAAUGUCAUUUUAACCACUUUUGUAAUACCUCAUUAUAAUCCCCCUCGGCGAUAGAAGCCCUCCCACCACAUAUUGGAGGAGAAGAUGAAAAAUUAAAGGAGUAAAAAUGUCCUUUAGAAGCAGAAAGGUUUUGUAGAUAGCCUAAAAGGAAUUUUGUAUCCUGUUUGUAAAACAUAGUCGUCAAAUUAAAAAAAAAAAAAAAAAAAAAAAAACAAACGGUGAACUCCAACGCAAUGUGUUAAUAGGGCGUGUCGGUAACUCAUGUAGCAACCUAAGUAGUUUUCAUUUUUAAGUAGGUAAGGAGCACAUGAAGGGAGUAAUUCACGAUCUGCGACAAGUGAUGUGACGAUGGGAAGAUACCUUUAUUAAGAUGUAAUUGAUUGUGGCACGCUAAUUUUUUGAUUGGAUCGAUUCUUUCCCCUCUGAAGCGGGUUAAAGAGUCAGUUUCUUUUUAUAAAUUUUGCGUUUACAUAAGGUAAUUUGGCUUAUAAUUUGGUGGACCUGUUACUUUAAAGGUCAUUAAUCUUUCGGAGUCAGGCCAGGCAAUAAUAAUUAAAAUUGUCUGUUGUGGAGGUAUGAUUGAAGCAGCUGGAAAUGGUUAUCAGGCAGCAGGAUCCGGAUCUUGUAAAAAUCACCCAGUUGCCAUACUUUAUCGAAGGCCUGUGCGACGUCCAGAAAUGCCGCCGAACAGACCUCCUUGACUUGUAGGGUCUUCUCUACAAGAGCCACCAUCCUAAGUACCUGUUCGAUUGUGGAAUGCCCAGCCAAACUGGUGGUUAGGAAUGAUAUUACCCUCGUCUAGCAGUGGUAACAAUCUUUUAAAUAGCAUCGCUCGAACAAUUUGCUGAAAGCGGUAAUAGUGAGAUAGAUAUGAUGCUACUUGUCAAGGGGUUUCCCUAAUUUCGGUGGCACUAUAAUUUCAGCAAUUUUCCAUGCCUUGGGAAAGUACCCUAACUCAAGUAUGGCAUUAAAAUUUUCUGCGGUUUUAGCAAUGGCUCUCGAAGGUAGUUGCUUAAGUAUCUCUCCGGUUGAGCCAUAGCAUUCCUGGUGCUUUUUUCAGUUUAAGGUUUAUCUACAGCUGCGUGAAGUAAGAAAUUCCUCCGCGCAGGGGGCGCCACCGCUGUGUUUUGAUUUUUUGGUCCACGCUAUUAGAGUCCGUAUAGCUCCACGUGAGUCCUUGAGCUUUUAUAAAAGUUAAAGGAACUUCUGUUCAAAUCAAAGAGUCAUAAGUUGUAGCCACAACAUUCUUCUUCCUAUUGACACUAAAAACGACGUGAAAAGUAAUUUCUGAAGUUCUGAAAUUUGAUCCCAGAAAAAAGUAGGGUUAAACAUGAUGACCUUGAUGCAACCAAUCGCGAUUGAUCGCUCUCAGCAGUUGUAGAUAUCUCUCUCUCACCAUGAGCUAUCUCUCUCGCACUCAUUGGAGUCCCAUAAGGAAAACGGGGAUCAAUUCCAGCCUUUAAUAUGCAACUUUGAAAGCUCAUCUUUGACUUUACACAUUCUUCAGACAUGCUGCUAGAACUUAGGAGCUUCAGAAUUUAGAACCUGUGUCUUCAUAUUUAAAAAAUCACUGAUUUCGGAAUCGGAUUUUAGCAGCGCGACGUGGUGGAUUUUUUCGGAACUACAGCUGAAAUUUAACCUUAAUUCUGUAUCUUAUUAAAGACUAGCGACCCGUACGUGCUUCGCACGUAUAAAACAUACAAUCAGAGAAAACAGAAUUCAUCUCACAAUAAUCAAUAAUCAGUAGGACAUGAAUCGUUGCGAUGUAUUAUACGACAUUAUAAUGUGGCAUUACUAUUAUAAUGCAUUAUAAUGGAUUAUAGGCAUUAUAAAUCAUUAUUCGCCACUUGUGUCUUUCCGAAAGAAAAUGGGGCAUGUUCCGUUUACUUGAACAUUCGUGACCGGAUCUGGGAAAAUGGAUCUUAUCCUCCAGGGAAUAACUUUCCAAGAGAGUCUUUAGGGUAAACUUCCGAAUUUGGUUUGGUCCCAGGUUUGUAUCCCGGUGGUGGCGACAAAUUUUCAGGGAGCUGACGGGCGGAUCUGCGGAAACAGACUCCACACGGCGUGAAUCCCUGAAAAUGUCAAUGUCUGGAGCAUAUGUGCCAACCCUAACUCUUCAAGUGCGGUGGCUGUUUGUUUAGUAGCUAAGGCAGGGUGGCAAGCGUCAGAGAAAACCGGGAA
rnacentral:lncRNA from 1 species